CGCUUUUUGGCAGGCCGCGCGGCCAGUCGUCAGUCAGUUGGCCAACAAACUGGUAGCGUCUGGUGUGGCGAGCCAACAAAAGGCUGGCAGGGCGGCCAACACCGGACCCGGCCAGAAACUGAAUCCGGGUCCGGGUCUGGGUCCGUGUCCGUGUCCGGGUUGGAUCCGCAGCAUCUACGGCAGCACGGCUGCCAAUUGAGCGGAGUUUGGGUCUCAAUUUGACGCGUAGCCAGCCAAGAAGAGUGGCCGGCCAACAACAAAAACAGGUGACGCAGGAUAUGGCCAACUGAGCAGGGAGAUGGAGGAAGAGCAGGAGGCGCAGCAGGAGGAGGAGGAAACGCAGCGCACUUUUUUGGCCACGGUCCGCGUUUGAUUAGCCAACUCAAACAUCAGGGCCAAGAUCAGGGCAAUUGACAGCUCUUCUCCCUCAAUUUCCACUUCUGCUUGGCACACAGUCGCAGAGACACACAGUGCCUUAUGGCCACUGGACGAUGGACCACAGUGGAGCCUGGGCAGUAUGCAACACCUGACGCUGCCCGCCAGGAUACUCCCGUUCGUCUCGAUCAUACAGCAAAUAAGAAACAUUAAAUAAACAAUCAAAGAAAAGGAGUAUUGCUCCGCAACUGCCAACAACAUCCAACGACAACCAGUUGCUCUGUGGUGCUAGAAAGUGAGUGUAAACAGUGUGUGCCUUUGUGAACUGAACUGAACUGACCAACGUGCCAAGAACGAAGGGACGAGGAGGUGGGCACUCUGGCUCGGACCCAAGCGAUUUGGCAGGAGCUGAUUGUUUCAUCUGGCCAGGCUUAAUGAAAGAACUCGUCCUGGCCGCGGCUCCAUGUCAAACGCAGCAGGGCAAUCGCCAGCGAAGGCCCAAAGGAUAAGCAUCGUCCAGAACAUCGGAAUCUCCAGCGAAGGAUGCACUAAAAACAUUAUCCACAGGACUAAGAUCCCAAAAGAUAAUAUAUAAUAUAUAUUAAAAAAAAAAAUAAAUAAUAAUAAUAGAAACAAAAGCAAAUAUAAUACGAUGACACCUAAUAGACACAUUGUAAUAAAAUUGAAAGAAGUAGACAAGAAUAACCACUCAUAAAACUAAAAUAACCUGCCUAUAACUAUUUAUAAAAUAGUUGAAAUAGUGCUUACUAUGAACCAUAAUCGCAUAUGAUAUAACCAAUAUUGAGCACUUAUUGUAGCCCAAUAUUAUAUAUAGAACUAAAUAUGAAAUAGUCACAAACAAUAGUGAAUUACAAUACGUUUAUAAACCAACGUCAAAAGAUUUAUAACGAAAAUAUCUUUCUUUAUAAUGAGCACUUUCGAACAAUUAUAAUUAAUAUAAAUUAGCGCGGGAAGUCUUCGGCGUGGUGAAAGUAUAAGAUGUAAGCACAGCUGAGAAGAAAGGAAUUUACAAAAUCUAAGGAGGAGAAAGGAGUGAAAAACAUCUAAGCGCGGAAAAGUGCUACAAAAUGAAGCUGACGGCUUAAAGGAAACCUUGUUGGCCAAUUGGGGAGGAGGCCCAGAAAGUCGAGCCGAUUUUCCGCUGCAACCGACGAAGGUCUGACCAACCAAUCGCAACGCACAGCGGCGACGAAGCCCGGCCGAAAGGGAGCAUCUCGGGCAAACGGAGGCAAAGCCAGCCGCCCUGCAAUGCAUUUUCUUUGGCAACGUGUCAAGGGGCCUUUCACACACACACACACACACACACACAUUAGGAUUCCAUAAGGAUACUCUGCCUCGCUAACAUGCGCAUCGAGUGGUAUACGUAAUAUAUCAAGUAUACGCCUGUUGGCCGGGCAGAAAGUCUGUGAGUGUGUGCGAAUGGCCAAAUAGAAUGCUGCCAACUGCAUUGCCGGGCUGCCAACGACUCAACCCCCGACCCGAGGACACCACCCUCCUCCCGCCAGGAGGCCAACGACGAGUCCUUUUUGGAGGCAGCGCAUUGGCUGCAGGACGACCGGCGACAGGACGACCAAUCACCAAUCAAAUCGGGGCUUGUGCGCACUAUCACGGCCGUACGAAGAGCCACUGGCACGGCAUCCAGGACCUCAGCCGGAGACCCCAAGCCGAUUGCCAAUCUCUUAGACAUAUUAUUAUGCCAACGUCUCCUAUAUUAUAGUUCUCUAGUCGUAAGUCACAUGCCCAAGCCAUCGCCCCGGAACAUCGGGGGCGUGAAACAUUAGUUUUAUUGAUAGAGUUCUUAGUUUCGAGCAGAAGCUAUACGAUGAUGAUUUCAAGAAUGCAUAAGAGAAAAUGGAAUAAAAACUGUAAAGCUUCAGAGCGGCACAACAAA